rnacentral:rRNA from 1 species
AGUGAACGCUGGCGGUAGGCCUAACACAUGCAAGUCGAACGGCAGCACAGUAAGAGCUUGCUCUUACGGGUGGCGAGUGGCGGACGGGUGAGGAAUACAUCGGAAUCUACUUUUUCGUGGGGGAUAACGUAGGGAAACUUACGCUAAUACCGCAUACGCCCUACGGGUGAAAGCAUGGGAUCUUCGGACCUUGCGCGAUUGAAUGAGCCGAUGUCGGAUUAGCUAGUUGGCGGGGUAAAGGCCCACCAAGGCGACGAUCCGUAGCUGGUCUGAGAGGAUGAUCAGCCACACUGGAACUGAGACACGGUCCAGACUCCUACGGGAGGGAGCAGUGGGGAAUAUUGGACAAUGGGCGCAAGCCUGAUCCAGCCAGACCGCGUGGGUGAAGAAGGCCUUCGGGUUGUAAAGCCCUUUUGUUGGGAAAGAAAAGCAGCAGGUUAAUACCCCGCUGUUCUGACGGUACCGAAAGAAUAAGCACCGGCUAACUUCGUG